rnacentral:rRNA from 1 species
GUGAGUAACACGUGGGUGACCUGCCCUUCACUCUGGGAUAAGCCUGGAGGAAACUAGGGUCUAAUGACCGUGAUAUUCACUUCCUACUAGCAUGGUGGGUGGUGGAAAGUUUUCGGUGGGGGAUGGGCCCGCGGCCUAUCAGCUUGUAGGUGGGGUGAUGGCCUACAAGGGCGACGACGGGUAGCCGGCCUGAGAGGGCGACCGGCACACUGGGACUGAGACACGGGCCAGACUCCUACGGGAGGCAGCAGUGGGGAAUAUUGCGCAAUGGGCGGAAGCCUGACGCAGCGAACGCCGCAGUGGGGGAUGACGGCCUUCGGGGUUGUAAACCUACUUUACGACCUUCGACAGAAGCCUUACGGGGUGACGGGAAAGGGGUGGAAGAAGCACCGGCCAAAUACGUG